CCUGCCCCUAGAAGCACGGUAGGUGUGGCUGCUGUGGCACAUGUGCGUCAGUAGGCGGCAGAGAGGAGAGAGGCUACAUCUACCCUCAGUGUUCUGACCUGUGAACUAUAAUGGUUAGUAGCCUAACGUU